rnacentral:rRNA from 1 species
UACGUAGGGACCAAGCGUUGUUCGGAUUUACUGGGCGUAAAGGGCGCGUAGGCGGCGUGACAAGUCACUUGUGAAAUCUCUGGGCUUAACUCGGAACGGUCAAGUGAUACUGUUGUGCUAGAGUAUAGAAGGGGCAAUCGGAAUUCUUGGUGUAGCGGUGAAAUGCGUAGAUAUCAAGAGGAACACCAGAGGCGAAGGCGGAUUGCUAGGCUAAUACUGACGCUGAGGCGCGAAAGCUAGGGUAGCAAACGGG